rnacentral:rRNA from 1 species
UACGUAGGCAGCAAGCGUUGUUCGGAAUUACUGGGCGUAAAGGGUGCGUAGGCGGUUUUGUAAGUUUGGUGUGAAAUCUCCCGGCUUAACUGGGAGGGUGCGCCGAAAACUGCAAGGCUAGAGUGCAGGAGAGGAGAGUGGAAUUCCUGGUGUAGCGGUGAAAUGCGUAGAUAUCAGGAGGAACACCGGUGGUGUAGACGGCUCUCUGGACUGUUACUGACGCUGAGGCACGAAAGCGUGGGGAGCAAACAGG